CAUGAUGAACAAAAAGACAAGACCUACGUUUAGCCCCGAAUUUCGUCUGGAAUGUGCCCAACUGGUGGUUGAUAAAGGCUACUCAGUAGCCGAUGCCGCUGAAGCGAUGAAUGUCGGUAAAUC
rnacentral:sRNA from 1 species